rnacentral:rRNA from 1 species
GGAAACGGCUGCUAAUACCCGAUGUGCCGAAAGGUGAAACGAAAUUCGCCAGAAGAAGAGCUCGCGUCCGAUUAGCCAGUUGGUGUGGUAAAAGCGCACCAAAGCGACGAUCGGUAGCUGGUCUGAGAGGACGAGCAGCCACACUGGGACUGAGACACGGCCCAGACUCCUACGGGAGGCAGCAGUGGGGAAUUUUCCGCAAUGGGCGAAAGCCUGACGGAGCAACGCCGCGUGGGGGAAGAAUGCCCUUGGGUUGUAAACCCCUUUUCUCAAGGAAGAAGUUCUGACGGUACUUGAGGAAUCAGCCUCGGCUAACUCCGUGCCAGCAGCCGCGGUAAUACGGAGGAGGCAAGCGUUAUCCGGAAUGAUUGGGCGUAAAGCGUUCGUAGGCGGCACUUCAAGUCUGCGGUCAAAGUCCAGGGCUCAACCCUGGGAAGGCCGUGGAAACUGAAGCGCUAGAGUACGGUAGGGGUAGAGGGAAUUCCCGGUGUAGCGGUGAAAUGCGUAGAGAUCGGGAAGAACACCGGUGGCGAAAGCGCUCUGCUGGGCCGCAACUGACACUCAGGGACGAAAGCUAGGGGAGCGAAUGGGAUUAGAUACCC